GCUGGGUGUGGUGGCAUGCACCUGUAGUCCUAGCUACUUGGGAGGCUGAGGCAGGAGGAUUGCUUGAGCCCAGGAGGCUGAGGCUGCAGUGAGCUAUGAUUGUGCCACUGUACUCUAACCUGGGUGACAGAGUGAGACUUUGUCUCUA
rnacentral:SRP_RNA from 1 species